GUCACGCCCUAACGAUGUCAACUGGUUGUUGGGAGGGUUUCUUCUCAGUAACGAAGCUAACGCGUGAAGUUGACCGCCUGGGAGUACGGCCGCAAGGUUGAACUCAAAGGAAUUGACUGGACCCGCACAAGCGGUGGAUGAUGUGGUUUAAUUCGAUGCAACGCGAAAACCUUACCUACCUUGACAUGUCUGGAAUCCUGAAGAGAUUUGGGAGUGCUCGAAAGAGAGCCAGAACACAGGUGCUGCAUGGCUGUCGU
rnacentral:rRNA from 1 species